rnacentral:rRNA from 1 species
GGAAGCAGCUUGCUGCUUUGCUGACGAGUGGCGGACGGGUGAGUAAUGUCUGGGAAACUGCCUGAUGGAGGGGGAUAACUACUGGAAACGGUAGCUAAUACCGCAUAACGUCGCAAGACCAAAGAGGGGGACCUUCGGGCCUCUUGCCAUCGGAUGUGCCCAGAUGGGAUUAGCUAGUAGGUGGGGUAACGGCUCACCUAGGCGACGAUCCCUAGCCGGUCUGAGAGGAUGACCAGCCACACUGGAACUGAGACACGGUCCAGACUCCUACGGGAGGCAGCAGUGGGGAAUAUUGCACAAUGGGCGCAAGCCUGAUGCAGCCAUGCCGCGUGUAUGAAGAAGGCCUUCGGGUUGUAAAGUACUUUCAGCGGGGAGGAAGGCGAUAAGGUUAAUAACCUUGUCGAUUGACGUUACCCGCAGAAGAAGCACCGGCUAACUCCGUGCCAGCAGCCGCGGUAAUACGGAGGGUGCAAGCGUUAAUCGGAAUUACUGGGCGUAAAGCGCACGCAGGCGGUCUGUCAAGUCGGAUGUGAAAUCCCCGGGCUCAACCUGGGAACUGCAUUCGAAACUGGCAGGCUAGAGUCUUGUAGAGGGGGGUAGA